rnacentral:rRNA from 1 species
CCUACGGGGGGCUGCAGUGGGGAAUAUUGCACAAUGGGGGAAACCCUGAUGCAGCCAUGCCGCGUGUGUGAAGAAGGCCUUCGGGUUGUAAAGCACUUUCAGCGAGGAGGAAAGGUCAGUAGCUAAUAUCUGCUGGCUGUGACGUUACUCGCAGAAGAAGCACCGGCUAACUCCGUGCCAGCAGCCGCGGUCAUACGGAGGGUGCAAGCGUUAAUCGGAGUUACUGGGGGUGGAGCGCACGCAUGCAUGUGAAAGCCCCGGGCUCAACCUGGGAAUUGCAUUUAAAACUGUCCAGCUAGAGUCUUGUAGAGGGGGGUAGAAUGCCAGGUGUAGCGGUGAAAUGCGUAGAGAUCUGGAGGAAUACCGGUGGCGAAGGCGGCCCCCUGGACAAAGACUUACGCUCAGGUGCGAAAGCGUGGGGAGCAAACAGGAUUAGAUACCCGUGUAGUC